AGUCACUUCGACGGAAAGCGUCGCGCUUUUUGUGUUCGCACGUGUUACGAGAACGGUCGUUCAUACGUCUUGACAAGGCGACUGUAUCGUCAGAAUAUGGAUUAAAACUGGUUCCACGUUUGAACCACCAGCGUCUUCAAAGAACGUCUAGGACAGACAAUAUUGAUAAGGUGAAGGAGUCAGUACGAAGAUAUUCGCAUGUGUCUACAGGAAGCGAUCGGUAGCUUUAAUCUUGUCGCGACGAAGUUUAUAGCGAAUUUUGAAGUUGGGUCUUAAACUGCAUAUUUAUAAGCUACAGUUAUCAUAGGAAUUAAAAGAUACCGACUUUGGAGCAAGAUGAGGCUCAUUUUCAUUUAAAUGGGUUCGUAAACCGACAAAAUAGCAUUGUCCGAAAGUAACGGUAUGAGCAGCAAUCUACAGCAAAUGAAUUAUUGGCCCUUUCUUUUUUGAAGAUUCACAAGGACGAAACAUCACCGUUAACACCGACCACUAUGUUGCGAUGUUAGAGGGAUAUUUGACUCCAGAACUUGCGAGAACAAGAAUAGCGAAUAUGAGAACUUGGUUCCAACAAGAUGGAGCGACCUGUCACAUAUCAAAUGACUCUAUGGCGGCUAUGAGACAGACUAAUUAACAAAAGAGGUGAUAUCCCUUGGCCCCCACGUAGCCCUGACUUCACGCCUCUUGAUUUUUUUUGUGGGGACAGCUCAAACAUAUAGUCUAUAUGAACAAUCCGAGGGACAUCAGUCAGCUAAAGGAAAAUAUUCGCCAUGAAAUGGCUGCAAUCACCCCAGACAAGACAAGAGUUUUCACAAAUUUGCGUUCGCGUUUAGAGGAGUGCCGUCUUCGAGAGGGCCGUCAUUUAGAUGUUAUUUUAAAAAAAUAAACUUCAUAAGAUUCUCAUUUCGCAAAAAAUGUCGAAACCUCGAGGACAGGUUACACUAUUUGCAACAUUCCAAUUUGUGUUCCCCUCCAAGACAGUAUCCUACUGGUCACCUUGUAGAUGGAGUGCUAACUGAGAUUCAUUAGAACAUAUGACAUAAUUUGUUUUUCUAUUAGAAUUGUUUAUAUUUUUGAAGAAGGGAAGAAUGUAUGACAGCUUUAGAUUUUGCUUCUGUUGUUCCAGGUGUUCGUCCUCAUCAUCAAACAUAUCCUGCAGUAGAGGGCUAAAGAAAUGUCGAAUCUAUCGAAAAACCUCGAGGACAGGAUUUGCAACAUUUCAAUUUGAGUUCCCCGUCAAGACAAUAUCCUACUUGUCGCCAUGUAGAUGGAAUACAUACGAAGAUUUUUUUGUUUGUUUCUUUAUUAGAAUCAACAUUAAAAGUUAAUAAAAACCUCUAGGAGUAUUAAAAUGCAUAAAAUUUUAGGCCCUUGGUUUUGAACGGUGCAUUCCACCUAAUAUUAUUCUACACGAUUCUUAAUCAUUUUAUCGAGGCACUGAGUCAUUGAAGAGAUGAAUAUAUAACGACAGUAUUUUGGUAUCCCUAUAAUAUUCAUAAAAACUUUGCGCAGGAAAUUGAAUUUAGUAAAAUAUAAAAUUGAAGACAUGACGAGAAAGAGUUAAAAAUGACGAGAUAAGGAUUUCUAUCGUUUGUUAUCAUCAUAAAUCAAACUAUGUGUAACGAUAUAGAGACCAGAUUUUUCUUCUCCAAAAUGCUCCCACAUAUAUAACCAUAGUGAAAAUCAUAUAUUGUAAUUUUGGUAGGAUUCAAGAUAGGUUAAUCCAUUGAUAUCGACUUAUUAAUAUAAACGUAUAACUUUCUGAUUUCCACUACAUCCAGUUUUUUCUCAAAAAAGUUACAGCUCUCCAACUUCGAUUUUGAUAUCAUUGGUCGCAUUAAGCGAACGAAACUGCUGUGCAACUGUUGUACAGCCCUAGCGGAUUAGUUCGGUGACACAUACCCUACAAACUCAACACAUUCUGGAGCGGACGUCAUGUUUUGGAGCGCUUUUGGAGUACUAGGUAGCGGUAGCGGAACUGAAACGUGAGAAAAGUGAACAAAAACUGAGACAGAACCAGAUUUGAAAUUUGUUAAAUCAACUGUGUUCUGUGAUCAAAAAUGAUUGAAUUCGGUCACGACGAUGAGAAAAAUGAAUUGAAGCUCCAUGAUAUAUACUCCAUAAUUUGAUUUUAAAUUAUGUUCGUUUUUCUAUAUGCUAAUCGCUACAUCCGCUGAGUGCGACCUUUAUUUUAGUUCUAUUUAACACCCACAGAUCACCUAUAUAUAGAUGGAUCACGACAAUGUUAUUUGUUCUAACAAAAUUGACGUCGACUGGGGGUCUAAACCUGAACUAUUAAUAUGACAUCCUUCAUAAAUACUGGCAAAUUUAAAUUUUAUUAAUGGCGUGUAAUUUAAAUCAUUUGAUGGUAAUUCAUACUGCAAACUAAUCAACAUUCAAAUGUAUGUUUUUGUUUAUAAUAUUUCUCAAAAUGGCAUAUUUUCAAGAUAUAAUAUAACAAAAGAUAAAAUUUUGAGAACUAUUAUAAAAAAAAUAAAUUUACGAAUUUAUUAGCUGUAAUCUUAUUAGGAUAAAAAUAUUAAAGUUAUUGUAAGAGUACUUAUUUCCUUACCCAAGUUAAAUGAGGAUAGAUCGGGUUUUAGCAGUAAUAUGAUACACCUUUUAUUAUAUUAGGUAUAAUAAUAACCUGGACAAAACGUGUUAUUAUUUAUUCAUAAGAUAAAAAUAAAACUUGAAGAAAAUAUUAUUUUUUAAAUAAAAUAUUGCAUACCAAAAUAACUAAUUGUUACUAAAUGUCACAUAUUGAGUAUUUGGAGCUAAUUUUAGUAAAUUUUAUUACAUGAACUUAUAAUAAAUCCCUUGCA